AUGGAACAGCUAAACUGGGAGCAGGACGAGCAGGAGCUCAGCCUUGAGCUCACCCUCCGCAUGACCUGGGCGGCGCAGGCGGAGGCGGAGCAGGGCGGCUUCUUCCUCUGCGUCUACUGCGACCGCAAGUUCCGCAGCUCGCAGGCGCUCGGCGGCCACCAGAACGCGCACAAGCACGAGCGCAGCGUCGCCAAGCGCCGGCGGGAGAUCGCCGCCAGCACGCGCGCGCAUGGGGCGGGCGGCGCACCUGCCGCGGCGCAGGACGCAAGGCCGGGCGGGUACGCGGGCGACAGCGACUUCUUAUCGGCGGAUGGGAGGGCGAGGAAAACGGAGGCGCUCAAGGCCGCUCCUCCGAUGCUUGCUGGCAUGGCGCGCAAGCGCGGCAGCGCCCCGUCAGAGUACGCCUACGGCGCCUUCGAGCACGUCGCCGGCGAGGUGGACCUAUCUCUCAGGCUAUGA
rnacentral:rRNA from 1 species